rnacentral:rRNA from 1 species
UAAUGCAGUCGACGAACUCUGGUAUUGAUUGGUGCUUGCAUCAUGAUUUACAUUUGAGUGAGUGGCGAACUGGUGAGUAACACGUGGGAAACCUGCCCAGAAGCGGGGGAUAACACCUGGAAACAGAUGCUAAUACCGCAUAACAACUUGGACCGCAUGGUCCGAGUUUGAAAGAUGGCUUCGGCUAUCACUUUUGGAUGGUCCCGCGGCGUAUUAGCUAGAUGGUGGGGUAACGGCUCACCAUGGCAAUGAUACGUAGCCGACCUGAGAGGGUAAUCGGCCACAUUGGGACUGAGACACGGCCCAAACUCCUACGGGAGGCAGCAGUAGGGAAUCUUCCACAAUGGACGAAAGUCUGAUGGAGCAACGCCGCGUGAGUGAAGAAGGGUUUCGGCUCGUAAAACUCUGUUGUUAAAGAAGAACAUAUCUGAGAGUAACUGUUCAGGUAUUGACGGUAUUUAACCAGAAAGCCACGGCUAACUACGUGCCAGCAGCCGCGGUAAUACGUAGGUGGCAAGCGUUGUCCGGAUUUAUUGGGCGUAAAGCGAGCGCAGGCGGUUUUUUAAGUCUGAUGUGAAAGCCUUCGGCUCAACCGAAGAAGUGCAUCGGAAACUGGGAAACUUGAGUGCAGAAGAGGACAGUGGAACUCCAUGUGUAGCGGUGAAAUGCGUAGAUAUAUGGAAGAACACCAGUGGCGAAGGCGGCUGUCUGGUCUGUAACUGACGCUGAGGCUCGAAAGUAUGGGUAGCAAACAGGAUUAGAUACCCUGGUAGUCCAUACCGUAAACGAUGAAUGCUAAGUGUUGGAGGGUUUCCGCCCUUCAGUGCUGCAG